GAACCAGUACCGUGAGGGAAAGGUGAAAAGCACCCCGGAAGGGGAGUGAAAUAGAACCUGAAACCGUGUGCUUACAAGUAGUCAGAGCCCGUUAAUGGGUGAUGGCGUGCCUUUUGUAGAAUGAACCGGCGAGUUACGAUUUGAUGCAAGGUUAAGCAGUAAAUGUGGAGCCGUAGCGAAAGCGAGUCUGAAUAGGGCGUUUAGUAUUUGGUCGUAGACCCGAAACCAGGUGAUCUACCCUUGGUCAGGUUGAAGUUCAGGUAACACUGAAUGGAGGACCGAACCGACUUACGUUGAAAAGUGAGCGGAUGAACUGAGGGUAGCGGAGAAAUUCCAAUCGAACCUGGAGAUAGCUGGUUCUCUCCGAAAUAGCUUUAGGGCUAGCCUCAAGUGAUGAUUAUUGGAGGUAGAGCACUGUUUGGACGAGGGGCCCCUCUCGGGUUACCGAAUUCAGACAAACUCCGAAUGCCAAUUAAUUUAACUUGGGAGUCAGAACAUGGGUGAUAAGGUCCGUGUUCGAAAGGGAAACAGCCCAGACCACCAGCUAAGGUCCCAAAAUAUAUGUUAAGUGGAAAAGGAUGUGGCGUUGCCCAGACAACUAGGAUGUUGGCUUAGAAGCAGCCAUCAUUUAAAGAGUGCGUAAUAGCUCACUAGUCGAGUGACACUGCGCCGAAAAUGUACCGGGGCUAAACAUAUUACCGAAGCUGUGGAUUGUCCUUUGGACAAUGGUAGGAGAGCGUUCUAAGGGCGUUGAAGCAUGAUCGUAAGGACAUGUGGAGCGCUUAGAAGUGAGAAUGCCGGUGUGAGUAGCGAAAGACGGGUGAGAAUCCCGUCCACCGAUUGACUAAGGUUUCCAGAGGAAGGCUCGUCCGCUCUGGGUUAGUCGGGUCCUAAGCUGAGGCCGACAGGCGUAGGCGAUGGAUAACAGGUUGAUAUUCCUGUACCACCUAUAAUCGUUUUAAUCGAUGGGGGGACGCAGUAGGAUAGGCGAAGCGUGCGAUUGGAUUGCACGUCUAAGCAGUAAGGCUGAGUAUUAGGCAAAUCCGGUACUCAUUAAGGCUGAGCUGUGAUGGGGAGAAGACAUUGUGUCUUCGAGUCGUUGAUUUCACACUGCCGAGAAAAGCCUCUAGAUAGAAAAUAGGUGCCCGUACCGCAAACCGACACAGGUAGUCAAGAUGAGAAUUCUAAGGUGAGCGAGCGAACUCUCGUUAAGGAACUCGGCAAAAUGACCCCGUAACUUCGGGAGAAGGGGUGCUCUUUAGGGUUAACGCCCAGAAGAGCCGCAGUGAAUAGGCCCNNNNNNNNNNNNNNNNNNNNNNNNNNNNNNNNNNNNNNNNNNNNNNNNNNNNNNNNNNNNNNNNNNNNNNNNNNNNNNNNNNNNNNNNNNNNNNNCUCCAAGCGACUGUUUAUCAAAAACACAGGUCUCUGCUAAACCGUAAGGUGAUGUAUAGGGGCUGACGCCUGCCCGGUGCUGGAAGGUUAAGAGGAGUGGUUAGCUUCUGCGAAGCUACGAAUCGAAGCCCCAGUAAACGGCGGCCGUAACUAUAACGGUCCUAAGGUAGCGAAAUUCCUUGUCGGGUAAGUUCCGACCCGCACGAAAGGCGUAACGAUUUGGGCACUGUCUCAACGAGAGACUCGGUGAAAUCAUAGUACCUGUGAAGAUGCAGGUUACCCGCGACAGGACGGAAAGACCCCGUGGAGCUUUACUGUAGCCUGAUAUUGAAAUUCGGCACAGCUUGUACAGGAUAGGUAGGAGCCUUUGAAACGUGAGCGCUAGCUUACGUGGAGGCGCUGGUGGGAUACUACCCUAGCUGUGUUGGCUUUCUAACCCGCACCACUUAUCGUGGUGGGAGACAGUGUCAGGCGGGCAGUUUGACUGGGGCGGUCGCCUCCUAAAAGGUAACGGAGGCGCUCAAAGGUUCCCUCAGAAUGGUUGGAAAUCAUUCAUAGAGUGUAAAGGCAUAAGGGAGCUUGACUGCGAGACCUACAAGUCGAGCAGGGUCGAAAGACGGACUUAGUGAUCCGGUGGUUCCGCAUGGAAGGGCCAUCGCUCAACGGAUAAAAGCUACCCCGGGGAUAACAGGCUUAUCUCCCCCAAGAGUUCACAUCGACGGGGAGGUUUGGCACCUCGAUGUCGGCUCAUCGCAUCCUGGGGCUGUAGUCGGUCCCAAGGGUUGGGCUGUUCGCCCAUUAAAGCGGUACGCGAGCUGGGUUCAGAACGUCGUGAGACAGUUCGGUCCCUAUCCGUCGUGGGCGUAGGAAAUUUGAGAGGAGCUGUCCUUAGUACGAGAGGACCGGGAUGGACAUACCUCUGGUGUACCAGUUGUCGUGCCAACGGCAUAGCUGGGUAGCUAUGUGUGGACGGGAUAAGUGCUGAAAGCAUCUAAGCAUGAAGCCCCCCUCAAGAUGAGAUUUCCCAACUUCGGUUAUAAGAUCCCUCAAAGAUGAUGAGGUUAAUAGGUUCGAGGUGGAAGCAUGGUGACAUGUGGAGCUGACGAAUACUAAUCGAUCGAAGACUUAAUCAA
rnacentral:rRNA from 1 species